rnacentral:rRNA from 1 species
CAGUAGCCGCGGUAAUACGAAGGGUGCAAGCGUUACUCGGAAUUACUGGGCGUAAAGCGUGCGUAGGUGGUGGUUUAAGUCCGUUGUGAAAGCCCUGGGCUCAACCUGGGAAUUGCAGUGGAUACUGGGUCACUAGAGUGUGGUAGAGGAUAGUGGAAUUUCCGGUGUAGCAGUGAAAUGCGUAGAGAUCGGAAGGAACAUCUGUGGCGAAGGCGACUAUCUGGGCCAACACUGACACUGAGGCACGAAAGCGUGGGGGGCAAACAGGAUUAGAUACCCGCGUAGUCCCUGUCUCUUAUAC